UACGAAGGGGGCUAGCGUUGCUCGGAAUCACUGGGCUUAAAGGGCGCGUAGGCGGCUCGCGAGGUCGGGGGUGAAAUCCCACGGCUCAACCGUGGAAGUGCCUUCGAUACCGGCGGGCUGGAGGAAGGUAGGGGUGCGCGGAACUUCUGGUGGAGCGGUGAAAUGCGUUGAUAUCAGAAGGAACGCCGGCGGCGAAAGCGGCGCACUGGAUCUUUUCUGACGCUGAUGCGCGAAAGCCAGGGGAGCAAACGGG
rnacentral:rRNA from 1 species